GCAAGUCGAACGAUGAAGCCGGAGCUUGCUCUGGUGGACUAGUGGCGAACGGGUGAGUAACACGUGAGUAACCUGCUCCUGACUCUGGGAUAACUGCGGGUAACUGUAGCUAAUACCGGAUACGACCCUUGGAGGCAUCUCCUGAGGGUGGAAAGAAUUUCGGUCAUGGAUGGACUCGCGGCCUAUCAGCUAGUUGGUGAGGUAAAGGCUCACCAAGGCGACGACGGGUAGCCGGCCUGAGAGGGUGACC
rnacentral:rRNA from 1 species